CUCGAACACGGACCACAAGAUCAUGACCUGAGCUGAAGUUGGACGCUUAACCAACUGAGUCACCCAGGUGCCCCAAAACUACACAACCUUCCGAUAAAAGUAUUAGUUUUCCUUCUCUCCUUUAUUCUUUAUGAUCUACUCACAUAGGUACUAAGGAUUGUUUAUUUUUAUUUUUAACAAAAUUGACUGAAGGUCUACUAUAUACCAAUAUUUUGAAUUCAAAGUGUACUCUUUGGGGAAAUGAAGCUACGUAGUGAAUUACUGCUUUACGACUUCAGGAACUGGGAUAAUCCUUGAGACAUAGUAGAGGCUUAAUCUUUGUGAAUACUUGAAUAUACUAAACAAAUUAGACCACGUGGUAUAUGUAGGCAACUUGGAGGAGCUUGUAUAGAUUCUAUUUCAUUUUUAGGAAGAAAAAUGAACUGGCUUCAGAAAAUAAUGGAGAGACCAUCCUCUGGUCAUUUGCUUUCUCUGACACAUUUCAGUGGGAGGAUCCUCACAGGAAAGAGCCUUUAGGCCCCACUGUGGGAUCUCCCAAACUGUCACUUUUGAAAGACUGUCUCUAAGUCAUAUUGAAGUUAACUUAUUGGUUUUUUUUUUUCCAGAGAAAAAAUUAACUAAAAUUGUCAUUCAAAGUUAUGUUUUCUAUUAUAUGAAAAGUGGUUGUCAAUGAGGCACUCAAGGUCAGGGUUGGUAGCUGGCUUUAUCUUCCUUUAAAAAUGAAUUUAAUGACUUCAUUAAAAUCUAGGGAUAUAUAAAAGGCAGCAAUACUAUCACUAAGUUAACAGAGAUUUACUUAUCAGACUUUCAAACAAGGAAUUCAUCAAGCUACAAAUUCUUUCCAAGGAACAGAACUGUAUUCAAAGAACAUGUGGCUCAUAUCUCCUGUCAUGCCCUUGAUGACAAUUCUGAUGUUGUAAAUGUAUUCUAGUGUACCCCUAAGUGAAGGCUGCUUCUUGUCUCAGCUAGCUCAAGCUACAGAAAUCGACCAGGAAAAGACAGACUUAAGGAUUUCCUCUUUUUUUAGGGAGCCAGUAUGCCCAGAGCAUCCUGGCUUGUCUAUUCUGAAUCAGGUUUCUAUAUUCCCAAGUUAACCUAUCUAGAUGUCCUUACGGCUGUUUAUCCUUCUAGGUGUCCUUAAGGCUGAGAACUGGCCUUUGAGUAGAGUCAGCUCCCAACGUGGCUCAAGACUCAAGGCGAUUCAAGAGGAAAAAAAACAGAGACAAGUAUAAGAGACAGUGACUAAGACUUUGACAGAUAGCCGCUGAAGGAAAAGCAACACACACACACACACACACACACACACACACACACACCAUUUAUGAAGAGAUUGAGACAUACUGUGGCAGUGACUUAUUCAUCUUUGAUAAAGAGCUAAGUUCUUUAAAGAAAAAUGGCAUAAUUAGAGUAAAACUAUUUUGACUCCAAGAAUCGAUGGUUCUGUCAAAUUGGCCUUCUUUUUGACAUACUUGUCUUUACCUCAAGACCUUUGCACCAACUAUUCUGCUACUUGAAAUGCUCUCCCUCUAUUUUCACAUGACUGACUUCUUGUCAUCAUUUGUAAUUUUCAACUUAAAUAUCAACUUCCUCAGAGAGGCUUUUCCCGACCACAGUAAAGAAGGCAACUCAUUACUCACCUGACAUGACUCUAUUUUAAUUCUUUGCAUUGCAUUGUACUCACCAAUAGCUAAUAUUUUUUAUUGUUUACGUUAAAAUUUUUUUUUUCUCUUCUCCAUUACCUUGGCAUAGCAUAAGAUCCUAUGAGUAUAGGUUCUUGCUUGUUCUCUUUCUAUCCCUCGGUUGCCGCAUAAUAGAUAUCCAAUGAAUGAAUAUUCACACAGUGGAUGAUGACUUUUUUUAUCGUUAAAAAGUUGCUUGGAUUUUAACUUAUGUUUAAUAAAGACUUGUUUAACUGCAUUUGAAGAUUAGUAAUAGUGGGAGGAAUUCCAAUAAAACUCUUUAACUCUCACAAUUUUCUUUCGCACUUCCCUUCCAUUUGCCAUUUUGGCGUGAAAAGGCCUUGAUUUUUUGUCUUAGCUAUUUAAAAAAAAUCAAAAUUAUUCACACAAGUUUUAGUGAGUUUUAGCAUUGUAUUGAAGUUUGAUUUAAAGGCUGACAUGAUUUCUGCAUAUUUCACAAUUGAUUAAGCCACCAACCAGAGAUACAUGGAAGGGUCAGGUUUCUAAGAUUCCUUUUUGAUGUGUCUAGGCUUUUAGAUGAGGGAUAUCAUGUUCAGAUUAAAAAUGUCAUGGCAUUACUUUUAUUUUGUCAUGUUGUAUAUUGCUUUUCUCAUUAGUGUUGUCACUGGUGGUGUUUACCUUUGUUGAAUAACCAAUGACAGAGACGUGCUGCUAAAAUGUAAUACAGAGCUUAGUUAUCGUGGUUUUGUGAUGAUAAACAGGAUCAAUAAUAACCAACCAAGUUAUCCUCAUAUUAAGCUGAAUUAUAAUUGUUAAAUAUUUUUUAAUUUGUUUUGCAAAUCUAGCAAUCUUCUAAAAUAACCUCAGUUGGACAAUCUUCUAUUCACAUCAGGAGUAUGUUGUGACACCUGAUUCCAAAAAGUAUUGAGUAAUUUACUUAAAUAUGCUGACAACAAAUCUGCACCAAUUGAUGAAAACAUUUGGUGCAGAUGAAAGCCCAGGAAAUGAAAGGAGCAUAUUUGGGUAACUAUAACACAUUCCACGAUCAGACCUGAAAUUGAGAUUGGCACCUACAAAAAUAUCGCCAUCUCCUUCAUCCACCACACCAGUAUGUUUGAAAAAAUUCUAUCGUCAACCACUAGCUCUCAAGAAACAUACCUCUAAGUCCACUCCCUUUCUGCCUGUAACACACGGUGUGUCUGUGACUCAGUCCUCGUGCUGUGGUUCUUGCUUGAGCGUGAUGGAAAACCAUGUGAGGAGCUCUGUUCCCCACUGCACGCUGGACACCACUGUCCUGCUGGAUUCUGCUGACAUUAAACAAAAUCUUUAGGGUUCAGGAAGGUUGGGCAGACACAUCAGAGGCAAAUGUGUAACACCGUGGAGCAUUUCUGCUUGGCCCGUUGAGUUUGACAUGCCAAAAUAGCCCACAAGGAAUAGCAGUGCCUUUUGAAGUAGCUGAGAUGCUUCCCUGAUGUCACUGCUCUGAGUUUUAGAUCAAUGCCUGGGAGAUGAAUCAGAACAUGUGAAGAGAGUCACUGAGGGGAAAUGUGCUGGAAAGGUUGCAGGAGUGAAGCACCCAAGCCCGGAGAGAAGGUGGGGUGGGGUGAGAUGUGCAAGCAGGAAAAAACAAAGGGCUGAGUCAUUGGAGGCCUAAUUGACAAUGGCACAGCUGUGACAACAAUUUGCCGGCGGCCUGACCUAUUUGAUGAAAGGGUCUCUGCUUUCCUUGGAACCUCAGAGUUGCAGUGCAUGGUAGGAAUGCACCACUCGUGUUUCCAGCUGGCUCAGCCUCAUAAAUACCUAAACUCACAAGAUGACAUUUUUAAUGCUCUACAAUUGCUGUUCUGCGUUUAUAUUUAUUGCAAUUCAACAUAUCCAUUAGUGCAUCUAUCAUUGAUAAGUUUGUCACUGCUUCAGGAAUACAGUCCAUCAUGCUGCAUCAAUUUUACUUUACAUGCUAUUAAUGUACUAUAAUGCAGCUUAUAAUAUCAUGUGGAUAUAUUUGAUUAGAGAGGUGCCAGAGUCAGUCAGAUUGCCCUGAGAAUUGCAAGAGGACCCAAAACCUUUAUUUGUUUGUGGUAAAGAUGAGCAGCCUUGGUGCACAGUGAAUGUGUUAAUAUAACAGGUGUAUCUUCUUCACUUUCUCAAACAGGCACGGCAAGGAACCAAUUUAAGCAAUCUAUUUUGACUCACAACAGACUUAUAAUAUUUUGUUGACACUUGACAUGUUUAUUCUUUUAGCAAAAUCAUAAUCAUGUUUUAAUAUUUCCUGCAUGCAAUUAGCAGCUUUAUUCAAGAGGCAACGAUGGCAUAUGAGUCCAGGAGAGAGGACCAACUAUGGCUUUCCAAAACGAGAUUUCUCCCGUAACAAAAGCUGACUAUGCCUAGCAGAUAUACUAGAAUAAUACGGGGUAUAUCAUUGAAUCCAACGAUGAGUUGAAUCAUGAUGCUGGAAAAGAAGGAAGCAGGAAAGCUCAGAAGCAGAAGUUUGACUGAAAGUCCUGGAAGAGAGAAUCCAGUUGGCAAGACUUAAGUGGAGAGCUGCAGUAUGGUGGUGAGAGCAAAGUUUUGACAGAAGGAGCCAAAACUCCUUCUACCUCUUAGAGGAUCUUUACAUCAGAACUUCAUGUGUUCGUCAAUUGCAACCAUGGGUUGAUUGACUGUCGGUAUGAGAGUUUGGUGAAGAUCAACAAAUGCAUCGUUUGCUCCUGUCUCAGAAGGCUAUGUCUUAACCAAUGAGAAAGGAUAAAUUCGCCCCUGUGGUUGAUAUUUAUGGGAAUGCAAGGUGACAGAAUCUCAAAGACUUCCUGGAGCUGCAGAGGGUGUUGCCAAUCAUCGUGGAAAUUUAAAGUAAAUGCUUUUUCUACAGAUGUUAAUGUCAUUGUUUAUUGACUGUUUACUCAGCUCAGAUGUAAUUGGGGUCAUUAGGGAUCCAGUCAAUACCUGACCUUUUCCGAUAAAGGGUGCACGCUGUGUUACUGGGCCUCACACCAGCCAGCCCUUACGUGGCGCGCAGCUGUUCCCACAGCGCAAAGCAGAAGCAGAGGCGCCAUCCAUCGCUGAAACUUUUUUGGGAAAAAAAAAUCUUCUGCAGUAGACAUGGUGUUUCAAAAAUCAGACAAAAUAUAUUUCAUGGAAAAUCUAUUUUGAGAUCGACAUUCAUUUGAAAAGCUAAAACUAGCAUCCGGAUAAAAAAAGGAAGGGAUGAAACAUCAAACUGAAAAUAUCUUUCUAUAUUGUGACAUUUUCGCAAAUGUAAAUGAGACCACCUUUAAGGCUGUCACAAGCAAAGAAAUUCAACUGGGGUCUUGAUGACUGAAGGGAUGUUAAAGAAUCUCUCAUCAACGGACCACAAAGAAUAAAGCGAAAACUAUCCGUAAUGUGCAGAUGUUAUCAGGAUGUGACUUCAGCACAACCCCACAUCCUGAUAAGGAGACAAAACUGCAGAUGUUUAAUAUAUUACAGGAACUAACCACAAAUUCUGUUUUGCUUCUCCAACUUUAUAAUGUUUAAUUUUUUUACGACGUGAAUUGCACUUUGGAAGAUCUUCCUCUCAACUUAAUUACUUUGUAAGUCUAAAUGCCCACUGCUAGGAUGAGGCGAGUUCUGGGUGGAGUGGUCCAGAGAUUCCCCCUCCCUGGGUGCGGGGCAGUGUGAAGGAUGCCUGGAGGGAUUUGUGUAAGUCCUCAUAUGCAGGCAUGAGGAGAGAGUUCUCAUUGUUGUGUGAUAGUGGAACCCUAGGUGUGAGAUAGAGACCUCGCAUUGAUUUCACAACAAACCUGCUUUAAAUCUGCUGGAGUCCUGGCAAACCAAAAGAAUUCAUAGAAACUCACAUUUGUUAAACAGAGCAGAAAAUAUUUGGAGAUGCGUAGCAAAUAGUUCUGCCCAGAUGACUUCUUCUUCUGAAGUUAAAAAUGAUAAAUGAUUUAAUAGAUUAUUUUACACUAUUUCGAAAGAAAUUAUUUGCCUCGGUGUGAAUUCUGUUUGGGGGAAUGCUGGGUAUUCUUUUUUUAUAUUCUCAAAACCAGCCAAAUGUCAAGUCAUGAAAAAGUUGUACCAAGACCUAUAUUUCUUUCAUUUUGAUUAGUUUAGAUAUAGUCAUUUUCCAGGAAAGUUAAAAAAAAAAAAAACAGUCCAUUUAUUCUGUUCAGAUGCUGUUUUUGACCCCAUCUCUAAGUGAGUGUGGGCGGUUGGGGUGGAGUAGGGCAGGUUGGUACCCUGUUCUGCCACCCACUGGCAGUUUUUCUUCUCUUCCUCAGGGAGCCAACCUUGCCCUUCAGGGCCUUUAUGCCAAACAAGCCUACAUUGUCUGGAUCAAAAGGACGGAAGAUUACAGAAUAAAAACACAGAAAAAGGAGAAAAAGUCCCAGUGCUCGGCCCAGUGUUGGGCACAUUAACACUGGCCAAUGAUGUGAGUUGAAUUAAAUCAUUGAACAAGAGAAAAGAACCCCAUUCUGGAUAUCAGACAAAGUAAAGGAUUCAAAUACGUGAAGACUUCCACACUCUCUGUCUAAAGGACCAUCUCAACUUGAUGAAGUAAAUGGGUGAAAAAGAAACUUCUUUUUACUCCAUCUGACUCUGUAUGGACUUACUAUGUGUUGGGAAGUAUCUACUUACAAAUGCGAAGUAUUUUUAGAAAAGCCUUAUAAAUCAUCAAAUUCUCGAAAAUCACCACUUACCAGGGAAGAUGACAUAACAGUUGCAUUCGAUUGCGAUCCUUCGGUAGGGGGGUGAGCAAGUUAUUAUUCAACACUAGGUCUUAAUGAAAAUUCGACACUACGUUACACUUACGGUGUUUGAAGCCGAUGUGGAAAUGUUAGAAGUUUUCUUUUGGUAAAACAUAUGCAUUGGCCUGGUGAGUGGAAAUGAGGGGCUGCUUAAAAGAUUUUUUUACCCAAAGCUUUUUGGACACAUUGCUGUAACCCUGGGAGGCUUGGUCUGAGCCCUGAACAGCAGUUGCCCAGAUGCAGAAAAAAGGCUUCAAAACCUCUCCUUUGACAAAGAGACAUGAAAUAAUAUCUGACAAAGGCAUCGCAAGCAAACAUGAUGGCAAAUCAGCAAUUAUACAGGCGACAAAGGAGAGCACAUCUCACUUCCAAAUGUCUUUUUUCUUCUUCUUCACAUUUUACUAAUAACAUCUCAGAGAGGUGCUUAGGUCAGUAUUUUUAAAAACAAUUUAAUAUAUGACCGUGCUUUGGGUUUGGUUUAACUCCUUUAUUACACUAAUGCUAUUUGUCAUUUCAUGCAUGUGUCAGCAUUGUUUUUGAAUGGCAAAAAAAGGUUGGGAAUAAACCAAGCACAAAGAAAGACACUUGCAGCUCACUAUAGGUAACUUUGUUUUAGAAAGGAAUAAAUACUCCACCAAGAUAGGCUAAACAGCACUUGCUGUCUCUUAAAUGGAGUCGUAUGUGGAAGGAAGAGGACCUACAAUGAAUCAAAUAAUAUUGGUGAAGAAAAAAUGGCAGCAAAAUUGACCAGAUCCAAACUGCAUAGCUUCACUCUUUAAUCUCAAACUCUCUUGCUCUUGAAUUUGGAAAAUAGGUAAGAGAAAGGCUUUUAAAAAGGAGUUAUAAAGUUAAAUUUAAGUAUGAAAAUAUUUACCUUUUUUAUCAAAUAACAUACCAUGAAAAAUUUACAUUUGCGAAAUUAAUUUUGAGCCCAUCGUAUAAUAAAUCAUCAUUAAAACCAUAUGUGCCCAACGAAUUCAAGCCCAGGCUUCAACCGGGAUGGAUAUGAAGGAAAACAAUAAUGAUAAUAAAAGUAAUAAUGAUAUCAAUAAUAAUAAAUGAGAUGGAACAUGUACUUCACAAAUAACUGCAAUACACAGUUCCUCAAAAUCUCUGCCUUUUUAUUGCAUAAUGAUCAAUCUGCUACUGAUCAAAGGUAUGCUGUACCUCAAAUAAGCAAAAUGCUCAUGGUGUGAAAUUAAUGACAUGAACUGUAAAUGAAAACAAAGCUACUUAGGCCUUUAAAAUUAUUUUCUUUCAUGUGGAUUCACUGCAGAAAAAUAAUGAAUUGCAGCCUCUUCUUUCCUGACAUAUUUGGGAUAGUUCACAUGACUUCGAAAUGGCUUAAAUAUUUUACCACCCACUAUAGAAUGUUCUGAAGAGGGGAAGGAAAACGUGUAUUUGUUUUGCCGGUGGUCAUUUCUUACUGUCUCAUUCAGUAUGUAGGAGUACAAAAGGUAUACUGUUAAAAGGAAAUGAAGAGCAAACUUAGUCAAAUGUAUUUGAAUGCAAGAAUAUAAGGGAUAUAUUAGAAGAUGCUUGAUAACUAGAAAUCAAUCCAUUUACCACAUGGUCUGUUAGUAUAAAGAUUCUGCAAGACCUCAGAGAAUCUCGUGUGCUAAUCAAGUUAAUUAGCUGUAGAUAAGGAUACUCUUAAAAUUAGGUCUGUAAACACCAGACUUUUAUUUUAUUUUUUUAUUAUUUAUUUAUUUUAAAAAUUUUUAUUACAUUUAUUUAUUUUUGAGAGACAGAGAGAGAGACAGCACAAG